UCGGGUUUAAAAAUUUCACUAUCAUCUACUUUGAUUGUGGGAGUGUGUGGGCCUUUGAUUAUAACUCUCCAAAGUUGAUAAUCAAGUUCUUGAAUGUAAAUGUGCAUGCAUGCUUUCCAAUAAGUGUAGUUUGUUCCAUUGAACAAAGGUGGACGGUUGGUCGAUUGUCCUUCGACAAGAGACGCACUCAUUUGGAUUGCC
rnacentral:lncRNA from 1 species